GCCGUGAGCUUCUGUGCAUGAUGAGCCAGAGCAGGACUGGAGGAGUCGUCGGAAGAUUCAGAGGAGUUGGACCAAACUGUGCCGUUGUCCAUUUCCCCCUGCCGCUUCAGCAGAGACUAGAAAUUAAGCAAAGCAAAAGACACACCGACUGUACUGAGCUGAAUCUGGGACUGGUACAGAAGAAAUCCCGUUGCGGGGAUGCCGUCUUGUCCUUCUCAACAUUGUGGAACGUCUGCACCACCGAGCAGCUUGGUCUGGGCCUGCCAUGAGGCGCACUCUUCAGCGAGGUGAGGAAGAGGAGGGACAUGAGGCACACUACUCAACCACUAUUAAACAGCUACAAGGACCACAGCUUCGUUCAAACGUACUGCGACUGUCACACAACCCAUGAUGGCUAUCAUUCAUUCUCC